rnacentral:rRNA from 1 species
AACGAACGCUGGCGGCAGGCCUAACACAUGCAAGUCGAGCGCCCUUUCGGGGGAGCGGCGGACGGGUGAGUAACGCGUGGGAAUAUGCCCUUCUCUACGGAAUAGCCUCGGGAAACUGAGAGUAAUACCGUAUACGCCCUGUGGGGGAAAGAUUUAUCGGGGAAGGAUUAGCCCGCGUUGGAUUAGGUAGUUGGUGGGGUAAUGGCCUACCAAGCCGACGAUUCAUAGCUGGUUUGAGAGGAUGAUCCGCCACACUGGGACUGAGACACGGCCCAGACUCCUACGGGAGGCAGCAGUGGGGAAUCUUAGACAAUGGGGGCAACCCUGAUCUAGCCAUGCCGCGUGAGUGAUGAAGGCCUUAGGGUUGUAAAGCUCUUUCAGCUGGGAAGAUAAUGACGGUACCAGCAGAAGAAGCCCCGGCUAACUCCGUG